UCUAGCUUCGGCUGUACAUAUACAAAAAAAUUGGAACGAUACGGAGAAGAUUAGUAUGGCCCUCUGCACAAGGAUGACACGCAAAUUAAGAUCAAGUGAUACUCUCUCU